UAAGUCCCGCAACGAGCGCAACCCUUGUCCUUAGUUGCCAGCAUUUGGUUGGGCACUCUAGGGAGACUGCCGGUGACAAACCGGAGGAAGGUGGGGAUGACGUCAAAUCAUCAUGCCCCUUAUGAGUUGGGCUACACACGUGCUACAAUGGACGGUACAAAGGGCAGCGAAGCCGCGAGGUGGAGCCAAUCCCAGAAAGCCGUUCUCAGUUCGGAUUGCAGGCUGCAACUCGCCUGCAUGAAGUCGGAAUCGCUAGUAAUCGCAGGUCAGCAUACUGCGGUGAAUACGUUCCCGGGUCUU
rnacentral:rRNA from 1 species